AUUUUGGUAGCCUCAGUGCCCAGCUUGGCCCAGCAGCCAUGUGUCCUUGACCGGGGAGAGCGACGGUGGCUACAUGGACAUGAGCAAGGACGAGUCGGUGGACUAUGUGCCCAUGCUGGACAUGAAAGGAGACGUCAAAUAUGCAGACAUCGAGUCCUCCAACUACAUGGCCCCUUACGAUAACUACGUUCCCUCUGCCCCUGAGAGGACCUGCCGGGCAACUUUGAUCAACGAGUCUCCAGUGCUAAGCUACAUGGACCUCGUGGGCUUCAGCUACCAGGUGGCCAAUGGCAUGGAGUUUCUGGCCUCCAAGAACUGCGUCCACAGAGACCUGGCGGCUAGGAACGUGCUCAUCUGUGAAGGCAAGCUGGUCAAGAUCUGUGACUUUGGCCUGGCUCGA
rnacentral:sRNA from 1 species